rnacentral:rRNA from 1 species
AUUGAACGCUGGCGGCAGGCCUAACACAUGCAAGUCGAGCGGAUGAGUGGAGCUUGCUCCAUGAUUCAGCGGCGGACGGGUGAGUAAUGCCUAGGAAUCUGCCUGGUAGUGGGGGACAACGUUUCGAAAGGAACGCUAAUACCGCAUACGUCCUACGGGAGAAAGCAGGGGACCUUCGGGCCUUGCGCUAUCAGAUGAGCCUAGGUCGGAUUAGCUAGUAGGUAAGGUAAUGGCUCACCUAGGCGACGAUCCGUAACUGGUCUGAGAGGAUGAUCAGCAACACUGGAACUGAGACACGGUCCAGACUCCUACGGGAGGCAGCAGUGGGGAAUAUUGGACAAUGGGCGAAAGCCUGAUCCAGCCAUGCCGCGUGUGUGAAGAAGGUCUUCGGAUUGUAAAGCACUUUAAGUUGGGAGGAAGGGCAGUAAGUUAAUACCUUGCUGUUUUGACGUUACCAACAGAAUAAGCACCGGCUAACUUCGUGCCAGCCGCCGCUGUAACAC